UACGAAGGGUGCGAGCGUUGUUCGGAAUUACUGGGCGUAAAGGGCGCGUAGGCGGUUAUGAAAGAUAGGGGUGAAAUUCCAAAGCUUAACUUUGGAACUGCCUUUAUAACUAUGUAGCUAGAGUAUGGUAGAGGUAAGCGGAAUACCCAGUGUAGAGGUGAAAUUCGUAGAUAUUGGGUAGAACACCGGAUGCGAAGGCGGCUUACUGGGCCAUUACUGACGCUGAGGCGCGAAAGCGUGGGUAGCAAACAGGAUUAGAUACCCUGGUAGUCCACGCCCUAAACGAUGAGUGCUUGAUGUCGGGAUAAUUUUCGGUGUCGAAGCUAACGCGAUAAGCACUCCGCCUGGGAAGUACGGUCGCAAGACUAAA
rnacentral:rRNA from 1 species